CAUUUGCUUCCACCCUGUUUUUGCUUUCUACACUUUCCUUGAGUGCAUUUUGCCAUGUUUAUGUACAUUCCAGAUACCACCCGCUAGUCUGUGUUUGUACAGUUUUCCUUAAAGCCCCAUUUUUCUGGCUUGCUCACAACUCUACCAUAUGUGGUUUCUACCACACAUAUCUUGGCAAUCUAGAGCACUGAAAAUGUGAAAAUGCCCUACCAGUGGAUAGGACAUCUAAUUCAUACAUUAUUUUCUGUCAUAAGCUGGCUUUUUGUCAGCCCAUUGAUAAGAUUCAGGGUGUAGCUAAGGAUUUUCCAGCAUAAUUUCUGAUGGUUGUAGAGAACUGCUUUUUUAAGUAAAAAUUUGGAAGUUUUAUUUUUCAUGCAGACACUAUUCCAUAUUCUCCAUCUUUCCAAUCUUUUUUUUUUUUUUUUCAAAUUAAAAGGUCAGGCAUUUUCCUGCAGUCUUCUGGAAUGGGAGUUGACUUGGACAUGGUCUUCCCAUUGCUAUAAAGGAACUUUCUUACUGGAGGCACUUGUCUCCCUGCACUGAAAGUAGCUGACUCCCUGAUCUCCCUGGUCUGUGCAACUUGGGCAUGCCAUGCCUCCUGUUUGUCUCAGUAAAUCAGAUGCAGCAAGCCAAGGAGUGGGAAACAAAUCAUGGUUUAUACAAGAAAAGGGAGUUGUGGAUACCCACAUGGUUGCCAGUUUUGCUGUUAGCCAGUGUUCCACAUCUCUCCUGAGCUGAAGGUGAAAUGCUGGGCUCCAGUACACAGGCUGAGCUUCAGUAACAGAAGUGUAUUUAUAGUAUGAACACAUUAAUAGGGUUGUGCUAGACAGUCUUCAGGCUGGUUUGAGCACACAGGCUAUUAAGUCCAAAAUUAGUUCCCACCUUACAUAUUAUAAUCAACCAUCACUACCCAGUGCUGUUCUCUCCCUAGAGAGCUUUCCUACUGCAGGUCAGCUUUACAGCUGGCUCCUCUUGCUACUGCUUUGGGCUUUGUCCUGGGAAUCCACACUCAACUCUAUCCCUGCCCUGUCAUCAGUUCGUGUUUGGCAGGCAGCUGGCCCUUUGGCAUUUGAGAGAAGGGAAUGAAUUAGGCAGAGGUAUUUCAUGUCUGCAU